GAAAACUCCGGUGGUACAGGAUGGUCCCGCGUCUGAUUAGCUUGUUGGCGGGGUAACGGCCCACCAAGGCAACGAUCAGUAGCCGGCUUGAGAGAGUGAACGGCCACAUUGGGACUGAGACACGGCCCAGACUCCUGCGGGAGGCAGCAGUGGGGAAUAUUGCACAAUGGGGGAAACCCUGAUGCAGCAAUGCCGCGUGGGUGAAGAAGUAUUUCGGUAUGUAAAGCCCUAUCAGCAGGGAAGAAAAUGACGGUACCUGACUAAGAAGCCCCGGCUAACUACGUGCCAGCAGCCGCGGUAAUACGUAGGGGGCGAGCGUUAUCCGGAUUUACUGGGUGUAAAGGGAGCGCAGGCGGCGUGGCAAGUCAGAUGUGAAAACUCGGGGCCCAACCCCGGGACUGCAUUUGAAACUGCCAUGCUGGAGUGCCGGAGAGGUAAGUGGAAUUCCUAGUGUAGCGGUGAAAUGCGUAGAUAUUAGGAGGAACACCAGUGGCGAAGGCGGCUUACUGGACGGUAACUGACGCUGAGGCUCGAAAGCGUGGGGAGCAAACAGGAUUAGAUACCCUGGUAGUCCGCGCCGUAAACGAUGAAUACCAGGUGUCGGGGCACAUAAGUGGCCCG
rnacentral:rRNA from 1 species